AGAGUCCACACUGCAUUCUAGAGACUCUCAGUCUGUCAGGCUGUCUGAUCUCAGAGGAAGGCUGUUCUUCUCUGGUCUCAGCUCUGAGCUCCAACCCCUCCCAUCUGAGAGAGCUGGACCUGAGCUACAAUCAUCCAGGAGACUCAGGACUGAAGCUGCUGUCAGCGGGACUGAAGGAUCCUCUCUGGAGACUGGACACUCUCAGGUUU